CCUACGGGCGGCAGCAGUGGGGAAUAUUGGGCAAUGGAGGCAACUCUGACCCAGCAAUGCCGCGUGAGUGAUGAAGGUAAUUUUAUUGUAAAGCUCUUUUCUUUGGAACGAAUAAAUGACGGUACCAAAGGAAUAAGCCCCGGCUAACUACGUGCCAGCAGCCGCGGUAAUACGUAGGGGGCAAGCGUUGUUCGGAAUGACUGGGCGUAAAGGGUGUGAAGGUGGUUUGAUAAGUUAGAUGUGUAAUACCCAGGGCUUAACUCGGGUGCUGCAUCUAAAACUGUUAGACUGGAGUACUGGAGAGGAUAGUGGAAUUCCUAGGGUAGCGGUGGAAUGCGUAGAUAUUAGGAGGAACACCAGUGGCGAAGGCGACUAUCUGGCUGUACAUUGACGCUGAGGCUCGAAAGCAUGGGGAUCAAACAGGAUUAGAUACCCCUGUAGUC
rnacentral:rRNA from 1 species